ensembl:lncRNA
UAAUCAUUAUACUUUACAAUUUUUUCUCCCCAAUUUAGUUAUUACAUUAUUUAACAAAUGCCUUGUUUUUCAAACGAUUACUGCAAAAAGAAAAUGCACACAAGGUCAAAAAUUUCAAUGUUUUAAUAUGAUAAAUACUUAUUUAUAUGUGAAACUAUACUGUAUUAUAGAUUUUUUUGAGUAAUUAUUGAUAAUUUUAAUUGGACUUUAAGUGGAAUGUUUAGUGUGUACAAUUGUUAAAAAAAAAGAAAAAAAAAAAAGAAAGGAAAAAAAAGAAAAAGGCAGGGUGAAUCCUAGCCUGACGUCAUUUUGAUCUAGGUGGGAUCAGUUAUUAUGAUCCAUGUAGGGCACUUAUCAUCUGUUCAAGAUGUAAAAUGACUUUGAUUUCAAUAAAUGUAGUUUUAGCAUAUGACAAAGAAUUAUUAUUAGCAAAUAAUAAACAGCUGACUAAUAAUUGUUGAAUAUUCUGUACAGUAUAUUCAAUUAAAACAUCGUCUUUUCAAGAAAUGUUACUUCUGUAAAAUCGGUCUCAAAUUCAGUGACACGAUCAGUGUGCGUUCAUGUUACUCUCUAUUACUCUCUGAUUAAACAAGCUUUAGCAAUACAUUGUGGACAGAUUGUGUGCAGAGAAACAACUAGUAAUACUUUUUAGUGUAAAUGUCAAAAUAACACAAAAGCUAGUGUGUAACUGCUAGUGUUUCACGCAUCCUAAGCUGGGGUUUUAUUUAAAAACUGAGAAUUUUAAGCAAUUUAAAUUGUGAUUAAAGAGCUCUUGGUGAUAAGGUUGUUUAAAUGUGUAGUUCUCAGCAUUGCUGGCUAUUCCUCUUAAACAAUGCAUGCAUUUCCUGUGAUCUGUUGGGCGCUAAAGCACACAAAGAAAGUGGGUGGCUUUUUUUACUGAUGUACAGCAAUAUUGUUGUUGUUUUACAAGAAAAUACCACAGUGACAAAAAUCAGUAAGUAUUACCCAUAGGGCCAACAAGCAUGUGCACUUUCUUAAAACCCCAUAAUGACUAUUUUUAUUAUAUCCCGGGAAUUAUUACAGUGCUUUUUGUAGGUUACAAUAGGUUGAGGAAAUUUUAGAUGACAUGUUUUGGUCUAACAAACACUUCUCUGAUACCUCACAUUCAAAGCAGUGGGAUUGCAGUGCUUCCACAGAUUCUAAACUUACCCAGAACUAGAAAACUUGCCCAAUUUAUACCUCAUACAACAUUCAACAGAAAUGACUGAACUUUCAGCACAUGGGCUUGAAAUCACCACUGCACAUUUCAACUGCUGAAUAUACAUAAAAAUGGGCUGAUGGGAAACAAAGUAAACUGUGAGCGUUACACAGGUAUGGAGAUGAAAAUGUGUGGGGUUUUAUAUUUCACAAGACAAAUUACAUGUUUUUCUUUCCCUCCUGUAAGCGAAAAUGUAUUAUAACUAAUACUGUAGAAUAAGCUAUGGCUUUAGAUGUAAUAUAUGAAAAUUCGUUGUUGUUGUUGUUUUUUUAUGGAGGAGUAUGAUACACUUAUUGUGACCUCAUGCAAACUACAUGUGAAAACUUUGUUUCUGAUUUUAAACUAACAUAUCACAGAAAACAAGAAUGUAGUAUUUAGAAUAUUAAUAAUACAGUGGUUUGACAGACUUGUAAUGACUACAUAGAUUCAUUUGAAUGUGCUACUGUAGAUGAUGUUAACUGCAGCUAAACUUGCUUUUGUGGAGAGUUGCUGGCUUUUUGUUGUUUUUCUUUGUGCUAUUUUAUGUCACUGACUGUGAUGUGAAAUUAUUUUUUGUUGGAUGUAUGGUAAAACUUUUUGCACAUUAUAGACUUCAUAUUGAAACAUCAUUAAAUGUUUUUGACAAGUGAAUAUGAA